UGCAAGUCCGAACGAUGAAGCCCAGCUUGCUGGGUGGAUUAGUGGCGAACGGGUGAGUAACACGUGAGUAACCUGCCCUUAACUCUGGGAUAAGCCUGGGAAACUGGGUCUAAUACCGGAUAGGAGCGUCCACCGCAUGGUGGGUGUUGGAAAGAUUUAUCGGUUUUGGAUGGACUCGCGGCCUAUCAGCUUGUUGGUGAGGUAAUGGCUCACCAAGGCGACGACGGGUAGCCGGCCUGAGAGGGUGACCGGCCACACUGGGACUGAGACACGGCCCAGACUCCUACGGGAGGCAGCAGUGGGGAAUAUUGCACAAUGGGCGCAAGCCUGAUGCAGCGACGCCGCGUGAGGGAUGACGGCCUUCGGGUUGUAAACCUCUUUCAGUAGGGAAGAAGCGAAAGUGACGGUACCUGCAGAAGAAGCACCGGCUAACUACGUGCCAGCAGCCGCGGUAAUACGUAGGGUGCGAGCGUUAUCCGGAAUUAUUGGGCGUAAAGAGCUCGUAGGCGGUUUGUCGCGUCUGUCGUGAAAGUCCGGGGCUUAACCCCGGAUCUGCGGUGGGUACGGGCAGACUAGAGUGCAGUAGGGGAGACUGGAAUUCCUGGUGUAGCGGUGGAAUGCGCAGAUAUCAGGAGGAACACCGAUGGCGAAGGCAGGUCUCUGGGCUGUAACUGACGCUGAAGAGCGAAAGCAUGGGGAGCGAACAGGAUUAGAUACCCUGGUAGUCCAUGCCGUAAACGUUGG
rnacentral:rRNA from 1 species